AGCCCCGCGCGAGGGCCGCCCCGCCCCGCCCGGCGUGAGGGAGGCACCGCCACAGCGGAGCCCACUGGGGUCGUGGGGCAGGGGCGCUGCUGACGGUCGAGCUGCUUUUUUUGAAGUGCAAUGUUUCAAAAUGUUGCAGAAGCAAAAAAGUUUAUUGGCAAAUCCCUUCAGCCAGCACGACCUGUGCAUCACCUGUCUUCUAAACAAGCAUCAGCCAUUGCAUUAAACGUUCAGACUGAGUUACCUGGCAGCACUGAAGUAUGUUUGCAGAGUAAGGUUAACUGGUCAUCUGAAAUGACUGAAGUGAAGAUCUUAACUCAAACUGUGAUGCUCUGUCAACCAAAACAACAUGAAUCAGGAGCAAAAAAAGAAAGGAUCCAAUACAGCAGAGAUUUCCUUCUGAAGCUUUCAAGUGUUUCUCUCUCUCAGAAGAAGCCAGAGUUUCUUCCUGAUCAUCCAGUUGUACUUGAGAAGCCAACUAGCCUGCCAAGUUGGUAAAACCUUCAAAAGACAGAUUGUGCAGUUCAGCUCUGUUACUUUUGUAUGUAACUGCCCCAGUUGGUAUUUGACAUCUUACUGUGGUAAAGAACAAACCUUUUAUUGACAUAUGCAAGAAGUGACAUGUUGUUUGGAAGAUCAGAAAUCCAUCAAUGAAGGAGCUACAUAUGAUGUAGGUCUUCAAAAUUUUUGAAGGUAUUUGGGUGCCUGCAGAUGGAAAUAGGACCCUGUGAAAUUUUAGAAAAUGCCUGUUUCUUCCUGUCAUUGCCCAAAUGCUUUAAGAGACAAACCUUUAAUUUGUAAUGCCUGAGAUGGUAAUAUGAUUACAGUGAAAAUAAAUAAUUUUGCAUAUUGCUGUGGCAGAA